rnacentral:rRNA from 1 species
GACGAACGCUGGCGGCGUGCCUAAUACAUGCAAGUAGAACGCACAGUAUAUACCGUAGCUUGCUACACCAUAGACUGUGAGUUGCGAACGGGUGAGUAACGCGUAGGUAACCUGCCUGGUAGCGGGGGAUAACUAUUGGAAACGAUAGCUAAUACCGCAUAAUAUUAAUUAUUGCAUGAUAAUUGAUUGAAAGAUGCAACUGCAUCACUACCAGAUGGACCUGCGUUGUAUUAGCUAGUAGGUGAGGUAACGGCUCACCUAGGCGACGAUACAUAGCCGACCUGAGAGGGUGAUCGGCCACACUGGGACUGAGACACGGCCCAGACUCCUACGGGAGGCAGCAGUAGGGAAUCUUCGGCAAUGGACGAAAGUCUGACCGAGCAACGCCGCGUGAGUGAAGAAAGGUUUUCGGAUCGUAAAAGCUCUG